CUCUCCGCGGCGCUCAGUGGCAGCAGGGAGGGCCGGUGAGAUGCCAGAGCAAGACACAUGGUGAGGUCCAUCGCUCUUGUCAUCAGGAUAAGCCUGCAACCUACAAUGUUGGUGCGCUGACCUCGUGCUGCCGUCCUCGUGUGACUGCCCUCUCCCUGCUGCCGUCCUCGUGUGACUGCCCUCUCCCUGCUGCUGGGUCCUCAUGCGAUUGCCCUCUCCCUGCUGCUGGGCUUCUGCCUUUGUUGGCCUGAUGUGCUGCUGUGAUGCUGGUCCUUCAUCUUAGAAAGGUGUUCAUGCAGUUUUAUCACAGGUGGUGUUGGGUCAAUAGUUUCCCAAUUUCAGGAUAUUUCCAUGUCAGAAAUAGUGCAUCUUAGGAAUGACUAAACAGGAUAUUGUUGGUUUAGGCUGCACAACUGAUAAAAUGACUGUAAAUAAAUGUUGUAAUAAAUGUAGAAAAAAGAGUGGGAACACUUAUAAAUAUUUGGAAA